AGGACACGGCUGGCGGCGUGCCUCAUACAUGCAAGUCGAGCGGAUGCAGCAAUGCAUUAGCGGCGGACGGGUGAGUAACACGUGGGCAACCUGGCCUUAAGAGGGGGAUAACGUUCCGAAAGGGACGCUAAUACCGCGUAAAUCAGCGAAAUCGCAUGAUUUUGUUGGAAAAGGAGAAAUCCGCUUAAGGAUGGGCCCGCGGCCUAUUAGCUAGUUGGUAGGGUAACGGCCUACCAAGGCGACGAUAGGUAGCCGACCUGAGAGGGUGAACGGCCACACUGGAACUGAGAAACGGUCCAGACUCCUACGGGAGGCAGCAGUAGGGAAUAUUCCGCAAUGGGCGAAAGCCUGACGGAGCAACGCCGCGUGAGUGAAGAAGGUCUUCGGAUCGUAAAGCUCUGUCAACAGGGACGAAACAAGACGGUACCUGAGAAGGAAGCCACGGCAAACUACGUG
rnacentral:rRNA from 1 species